rnacentral:tRNA from 1 species
GCGCAUGAUUUAUGUUGAAACUGACUACGAAUCAGUAGGUCGGGAGUUCGAAUCUCUCCGAGCGCA